ACUCCUACGGGAGGCAGCAGUGGGAAUCUUGGACAAUGGGCGCAAGCCUGAUCCAGCCAUGCCGCGUGAGUGACGAAGGCCUUAGGGUUGUAAAGCUCUUUUAGCAGGGAAGAUAAUGACGGUACCUGCAGAAUAAGCCCCGCCGUAAUUCGUGCCAGCAGCCGCGGUGAUACGAAGGGCGUAGCGUUGUUCGGAAUUACUGGGCGUAAAGCGCACGUAGGCGGAUCAUUUAGUCA
rnacentral:rRNA from 1 species